UACGAAAGGUGCAAGCGUUACUCGGAAUUACUGGGCGUAAAGCGUGCGUAGGUGGUUCGUUAAGUCUGAUGUGAAAGCCCUGGGCUCAACCUGGGAAUGGCAUUGGAUACUGGCGACCUAGAGUGCGGUAGAGGGGUGUGGAAUUCCCGGUGUAGCAGUGAAAUGCGUAGAUAUCGGGAGGAACAUCUGUGGCGAAGGCGACACCCUGGACCAGCACUGACACUGAGGCACGAAAGCGUGGGGAGCAAACAGG
rnacentral:rRNA from 1 species